rnacentral:rRNA from 1 species
UAAGGAAUAUUGCUCAAUGGGAGAAAUCCUGAAGCAGCAACGCCGCGUGGAGGAUGAAGGGUCUAUGACUUGUAAACUCCUGUAAAGAAGGAAAAAAUUCCCAUUUGAUGGGAGAUGAUGGUACUUCUGGAGUAAGCCCCGGCUAACUACGUGCCAGCAGCCGCGGUAAUACGUAGGGGGCAACCGUUGUCCGGAUUUACUGGGUGUAAAGGGUGCUCAGGCGGAUUUGUAAGUCAGAGGUGAAAUCUUACAGCUUAACUGUGAAACUGCCUUUGAUACUGCAAGCCUAGAGUAUGGAAGAGAGGGAUGGAAUAUCUGGUGUAGCAGUGAAAUGCGUAGAUAUCAGAUAGAACACCAAUGGCGAAGGCAGUCACUUGGUCCAUUACUGACGCUAAAGCACGAAAGCGUGGGUAGCAAACA